AUUGAACGCUGGCGGCAUGCCUAACACAUGCAAGUCGAACGAGUGGCGGACGGGUGAGUAAUGUCUGGGAAACUGCCCGAUGGAGGGGGAUAACUACUGGAAACGGUAGCUUAUACCGCAUACCAUCGGAUGUGCCCAGAUGGGAUUAGCUAGUAGGGGGGGUAACGGCUCACCUAGGCGACGAUCCCUAGCUGGUCUGAGAGGAUGACCGGCCACACUGGAACUGGGACACGGUCCAGACUCCUACGGGAGGCAGCAGUGGGGAAUAUUGGACAAUGGGCGCAAGCCUGAUGCAGCAAUGCCGCGGGGAUGAAGAAGGCUUUCGGGUGGUAAAGUACUUUCAGCGGGGAGGCGUUACUCGCAGAGGAAGCACCGGCUAACUACGUGCCAGCAGCCGCGGUAAUUC
rnacentral:rRNA from 1 species